rnacentral:rRNA from 1 species
GAUGAACGCUGCCGGCGUGCCUAAUACAUGCAAGUCGAGCGAACAGACGAGGAGCUUGCUCCUCUGACGUUAGCGGCGGACGGGUGAGUAACACGUGGAUAACCUACCUAUAAGACUGGGAUAACUUCGGGAAACCGGAGCUAAUACCGGAUAAUAUAUUGAACCGCAUGGUUCAAUAGUGAAAGACGGUUUUGCUGUCACUUAUAGAUGGAUCCGCGCCGCAUUAGCUAGUUGGUAAGGUAACGGCUUACCAAGGCGACGAUGCGUAGCCGACCUGAGAGGGUGAUCGGCCACACUGGAACUGAGACACGGUCCAGACUCCUACGGGAGGCAGCAGUAGGGAAUCUUCCGCAAUGGGCGAAAGCCUGACGGAGCAACGCCGCGUGAGUGAUGAAGGUCUUCGGAUCGUAAAACUCUGUUAUUAGGGAAGAACAAAUGUGUAAGUAACUAUGCACGUCUUGACGGUACCUAAUCAGAAAGCCACGGCUAACUACGUG